rnacentral:rRNA from 1 species
UGGGGAAUAUUGCACAAUGGGCGAAAGCCUGAUGCAGCAACGCCGCGUGAGCGAAGAAGGCCUUUGGGUCGUAAAGCUCUGUCCUUGGGGAAGAAACAAAUGACGGUACCCAUGGAGGAAGCCCCGGCUAACUACGUGCCAGCAGCCGCGGUAAUACGUAGGGGGCAAGCGUUAUCCGGAAUUAUUGGGCGUAAAGAGUGCGUAGGCGGUUUUGUAAGCCUAGGGUGAAAGGCAAUGGCUCAACCAUUGUAAGCCUUGGGAACUGCAAGACUUGAGUGCAGGAGAGGUAAGCGGAAUUCCUAGUGUAGCGGUGAAAUGCGUAGAGAUUAGGAGGAACACCAGUGGCGAAGGCGGCUUACUGGACUGUAACUGACGCUGAGGCACGAAAGCGUGGGGAGCGAACA